rnacentral:rRNA from 1 species
UACGGAGGGUGCAAGCGUUAUCCGGAUUCACUGGGUUUAAAGGGUGCGUAGGUGGGUUGGUAAGUCAGUGGUGAAAUCCCCGAGCUUAACUUGGGAACUGCCAUUGAUACUAUUAAUCUUGAAUACCGUGGAGGUUAGCGGAACAUGUCAUGUAGCGGUGAAAUGCUUAGAUAUGACAUAGAACACCAAUUGCGAAGGCAGCUGGCUACACGAAUAUUGACACUGAGGCACGAAAGCGUGGGGAUCAAACAGG